rnacentral:rRNA from 1 species
UACGGAGGGUGCGAGCGUUGUCCGGAAUCACUGGGCGUAAAGGGCGCGUAGGCGGCCUGAUAAGUAGGGGGUGAAAUCCUGCGGCUUAACCGCAGGGCUGCCUUCUAAACUGUCAGGCUUGAGCACAGUAGAGGCAGGUGGAAUUCCCGGUGUAGCGGUGGAAUGCGUAGAGAUCCGGAAGAACACCGGUGGCGAAGGCGGCCUGCUGGGCAGUAGCUGACACUGAGGCGCGACAGCGUGGGGAGCAAACAGG